UGAGGAAUAUUGGUCAAUGGGCGAGAGCCUGAACCAGCCAAGUAGCGUGCAGGAUGACGGCCCUAUGGGUUGUAAACUGCUUUUAUGUGGGGAUAAAGUGCGUGACGUGUCAUGCAUUGCAGGUACCACAUGAAUAAGGACCGGCUAAUUCCGUGCCAGCAGCCGCGGUAAUACGGAAGGUCCGGGCGUUAUCCGGAUUUAUUGGGUUUAAAGGGAGCGUAGGCUGUCUAUUAAGCGUGUUGUGAAAUUUACCGGCUCAACCGGUGGCUUGCAGCGCGAACUGGUCGACUUGAGUAUGCAGGAAGUAGGCGGAAUUCAUGGUGUAGCUGUGAAAUGCUUAGAUAUCAUGACGAACUCCGAUUGCGCAGGCAGCUUACUGUAGCAUAACUGACGCUGAAGCUCGAAAGUGCGGGUAUCAAACAGG
rnacentral:rRNA from 1 species